GAAGUCGGAUGUUCAACUGACUGAGCUCCCCAGGCACCCCCGGAACUCUGUUUUACAAUAUAUUUUGAUAGGACCUGGGUCUUUCUAGAUGAUACUUUACAAGCCACCUGCCAGGCUACACCCAAGGGCCUGGGACAGGACCAGCAGUGGGGGCGGGAGCUGCCUCUGUCCCGCACCUGACCCGGCUAACCCAGGCCUCCCGACCACCACUGAGGGAGUUCGAGGUCUGGUGGGAUUGUGGGUCCUUCCGAUUGUGUCCUUCAUUUCUGUCGUUCUAGUUUUUCGACCAUGAACCAACACUUGACGGCCAGACAAAUAAAAAAGUGCUGACGGGGACUUCUUGGAGAUAGGUUCACGGCUGCUGGCUGUGGCCCCAACCAGGACGUGUGCGCUCUCUGCAGCGGAUACCAUAGUGGAUGCCGACCUCUGCUCGUCAUCCUCCCCCCCACCCUGCACACGGCAGCAGGGGGUCCUCACGGGACCAGGCAGUCCAUGGAAUACCGACUGGAGUGAGCCCCCCUGAAGUCCCCCUACCUCUGGAUUUCCAAUUACAUUAAAAUACAUUUAAAAAGUU